rnacentral:lncRNA from 1 species
AGUGAUAGUUAAAAAUAGUUAUCAAACUACAUGUAUAUAUAUGUUAUAUUCUAUGUUUUGUCAUUUUUUUUGUCAAUAAAAUUGUCUAUCUAAAUUUUAUAAUAUCUAUUUUUAUCUUCGUUUUUUUAUUUUUUAUUUUUUUUGUAGUUGCUUAUUUUAUUUUAUUUUUUCUUUUGUGGCCGUUUACGUCACCCAUUUUUUUGAUGGUUAUUUUAUAUGUUUGUUCCGAAAAAAAAUGAACUACAUAUACUCUUUAUGUGAAAAUAUAGGGGAAAAUGAGAAAAAGUUGAUUUCAGAUGAAUUAGGAAAUAUACUUGAUGAUUUUCCAGAUAAGAGCAAAUAUCAUGUGUCUGAAUUAGUUGUUGUAAGUAGAACCAGGUUCUUUAAGUUAUUGAGUAAUUAUGGUGAAUUUUUACUAUUAGAAUCGUCUUCUAGAGUAAUAAACAGUUACGAAAAUAUUUUACUGUUAUUACAUAAAGCCAAAAUAUUUGAACGAUUUUUUAAAUGCUUGCAAAUAAAAAAUGAUAAUUUGAAUAUAAAAAAAAACUUUGAAAAGGAUAUUUUAAUGUUUAUCAAUUAUUUAGAAGAAGAAAAAAAAAAACAAAAAAAAAAAAGAAAAAAAAAGAUAAAAAAAAAAAAAAAAAAAAAAAAAACAAAAAGAAAAACCAUUUUUAACACGGAAGAAGUAAGUAAUAUGCAUAAAAAACAAAAGAACAUAGAAUUUGUAUAUAAAUUAAUGUCAAAUGAUAAAGAAGCUGUGUCAUUUUUAGGAACUCAUUAUAAUGUUUUUCAUAAAAAUUUUGAAAGAGCCCAAAUAGCUUUAGUAGCUGUAUUUUUGUACCUAACGGGGUAUAACCAUAGCAAUAGAACAGAAUGCCUGAACAAAAACUAUUCAGAACAUGUAUAUACUAAAGAACAAAAAGACGAUAUAUUAAUAAAUGAAAUUUUAGAAAUAAAAAAAAUAAAAAUAGCAUGUAAUUUAGCAAGACUAGGAGUUAUUGAUCUAAUAUCGAAAAGUCAAACAAACCAUCAGAAACAAAAUAAUCAAUGUGCAUCAUCAUCUUCUCAGUUUCAAGUGAGUGAUGAAAAACAGCUGGAAAAAAGUAUGGAAUUUUCCGAAUCUGAAAUUAGAGAGUUUGAGGAGUUUAGUGUUACGAUAUCUAAUGCGUUAUAUAAAGCGUUCGGUACCAAUAAAAAACUGAAUAAUACUGUACAUCGCAGUUUAGACGAGCUCGAGCUUUAUAAAAGAAAGGCUGCAGAAAAUAAACGCAAUAAAGAAUCUAAAGAAUUAUUGGUUGAUGAAAAAAAAAAAAACGGAGUCAAAUAUGAUUCAAAUGAUGAUAUCGAAAAGGAUGCAAACAGUUUUAAUAAAAUGAUCCCAAGUGGUACUAAUACAUUAAUGGGAGAUGUAGAAAAAAAUGGAUUACUACAUAAUACUAAUAACAAUAAUUGCUUCAAUAUAAGUAACGAAUCAAUAACAGUAGAUUUAAUAAAAAAAAAACGAGAAAAACAAAUAAAUAAAAUUAUAAAAAAAUGUGAAUGGAUUACACAGACUUAUCCAUUUGGUUUAUGCCCAAUAAUUGUUAAUAAUACAUUUUCACAUGAAUGGGAUGAACAAAUUGUUUUUAUGCGCCGUGAUUCUUAUAAUAUUCCUACUACUAUUAGAAAAAUAUAUCCAGAUCGUAGUGACUAUUAUAUUAUUCAAGAAGCUGCAACUGUGCCUACCUUUGCCAGUUCUUAUUUUAAAACAAAUGUUUCUUCUUCUUGUUAUUUAGAACAAUUUUAUAAACAUAAAAAUAAAAUAGAUGAUAAGUUACAAUGUAUGCAAUUUAGUACAGAAAAUAUUUUUAAUAAAGUAGCAACAAAAAAUAUGUAUCUAUUAAAAAGAUUGUUAAAAACGUAUAAGAGAAAUGUUAGUUUUAACGAAUCAAAUAAUGUACAAAUCAAAUAUGAUAACACUAUUGCUAUAACAAAUGACAAAAAUAUAAAUAUCUACUUAAAUAAUCGAAAAAUAAGUAACGAAUCCAACAGUUACCAAAAUUAUGAUAAUUCAUAUUAUUAUAAUUACGAUCUAAAUGGUUAUACCAAUUAUAAUCAUGUUGACAAAAACAGUGAAUCUUCUGAUAAUAGGUUGUUAGUACAAGAGGAUGGUAGUAUCGGUGGUGGUCAAAAUGGAAGUAGUAAUGAUGGCGGCCACACUGGAAGUAGUAAUGAUGGAGGUCAUAAUAAUGAAUGUGAUAGUCAUAUGAAUGGAAAAUUGUGGGUAAACAAUAACACAUUAACAAGUAACAGUUUUGCUCAGAAUAUC